AUUGAACGCUAGCGGGAUGCCUUACACAUGCAAGUCGAACGGAGUGGCGAACGGGCGAGUAAUGUAUCGGAACGUGCCCAGUAGCGGGGGAUAACUACGCGAAAGCGUAGCUAAUACCGCAUACUAUUGGAGCGGCCGAUAUCGGAUUAGCUAGUUGGGGGGGUAACGGCCCACCAAGGCGACGAUCCGUAGCUGGUUUGAGAGGUCGAACAGCCACGCUGGGACUGAGUCAGGGCCCAAACUCCGACGGGAGACAGCAGAGGGGAAUUUUGGACGAUGGGGGAAACCCUGUUCCGGCCCUCCCGCAUGUGCGAUGAAGGCCUUCAGGUUGUAGAGCGCUUUUGGCAGGAGAGCGGUACCUGCAGAAUAAGCACCGGCUAACUACGUGCCAGCAGCCGCGGUAAUUC
rnacentral:rRNA from 1 species